GCCGAGGUGGCACAAUCUGGUACUGCGCUAGCCUUGAGAGCUUGUUCCCUCACGGGUAUCCCGGUUCAAAUCCGGGCCUCGGCG
rnacentral:tRNA from 1 species